UACGUAGGGUGCAAGCGUUAAUCGGAAUUACUGGGCGUAAAGCGUGCGCAGGCGGCUUUGCAAGUCAGAUGUGAAAUCCCCGGGCUUAACCUGGGAACUGCAUUUGUGACUGCAUGGCUGGAGUGCGGCAGUGGGGGAUGGAAUUCCGCGUGUAGCAGUGAAAUGCGUAGAUAUGCGGAGGAACACCGAUGGCGAAGGCAAUCCCCUGGGCCUGAACUGACGCUCAUGCACGAAAGCGUGGGGAGCAAACAGG
rnacentral:rRNA from 1 species